rnacentral:lncRNA from 1 species
UUCCUUAUCAGGAUCUCCAGAUACAUCCGAUGAAACCAUUGGCUUUCGUUCUCCACCUCUCGGAGCCUUUUUCUUAAGACCUCGGACUCCGCCUCUGCAUCCUUAACCGCCUGCUGCUCGUAUGCCAGCUGGAUCUUCAACUGCUGCAGCUCGGUCCUCCCCUCACCAAGGGCAAUAGAUAGCUCUUCUAUGGUUCCUCUCAGGGAUCGGAGUUCGUCGAGGUCCCGAACAGGGACGAACUGGGCUCCUUCAGAUUACUGCCUUUGAAGGUGGGCAAUCUCGUCGGUCGCCAUCCUGAGCUUCCUCCUGUAGUCAUCCACUUGCUUGCACCAGCCGGCCCAGUAUGCAUUGUAGUUCGACUCGGCAUCCUGGAGAUGUUGCUAAAGGUCGGAGAACUUCUUCGACCAUUCUCGAUCGUGGUCGGCCCGAGUCGAAAGCCAGGACGAGCUUCCUUUCAGCUAGCCGAUCUUCUCCCGUGCAGCCGACAGCUCCACUUCAAGAGAGCUGAUCUUGGAAGCCUGAGCCCAGGAUCGAUC